AACGAACGCUGGCGGCAGGCUUAACACAUGCAAGUCGAACGCUCGUAGCAAUACGGGAGUGGCGGACGGGUGAGUAACGCGUGGGAACGUGCCCUGAGGUACGGAAUAACUGAGGGAAACUUCAGCUAAUACCGUAUGAGCCCCGAGAGGGGGAAAGAUUUAUCGCCUUGGGAGCGGCCCGCGUCGGAUUAGCUAGUUGGUGGGGUAACGGCCUACCAAGGCUUCGAUCCGGUAGCUGGUCUGAGAGGACGAUCAGCCACACUGGGACUGAGACACGGCCCAGAUUCCUACGGGAGGCAGCAGUGGGGAAUCUUGCGCAAUCGGGGGCAACCCUGACGCAGCCAUGCCGCGUGAACGAUGAAGGCCUUAGGGUUGUAAAGUUCUUUUACCCGUGACGAUGAUGACGGUAACGGGGAAUAAGCUCCGGCUAAC
rnacentral:rRNA from 1 species